rnacentral:lncRNA from 1 species
UCUCAUCGAGUUCCAACUCGGUUACACCCCAUAUGUCCUCAGACUCUCCGUGCUUCUGCCUUCUGAACAAGACGAUUCCAACUGAUCCUUACCGGGUAUUAUCCAUGAUGCUUUAACCAAAGCAACAAACGAUCAUGCGGGGCGCAGUUGUUCGUUUCAAUCCCUCUUUUGCCCGGACCGCCCUUUCGGGUUUUCAGUCCACCGGGAUACCCAUUUUUGCCCAAGUCGCC